GUGCCAGCAGCCGCGGUAAUACGGAGGGUGCAAGCGUUAUCCGGAUUUACUGGGUUUAAAGGGUGCGUAGGCGGGCUUUUAAGUCAGUGGUGAAAUCUCCGAGCUCAACUCGGAAAUUGCCAUUGAUACUAUUAGUCUUGAAUUAAGUUGAGGUGGGCGGAAUGUGUCAUGUAGCGGUGAAAUGCUUAGAUAUGACACAGAACACCGAUUGCGAAGGCAGCUCGCUAAACUUAUAUUGACGCUGAGGCACGAAAGCGUGGGGAUCAAACAGGAUUAGAAACCCUCGUAGUCC
rnacentral:rRNA from 1 species